UCCAGAUUUUACCAAAAACAAUCGAUUGUCCAGAAUCAACAAUCGAUUACUCAGCAAUGUUCAAAAAAUCUUUUAAAGAUUUUAAUUAAAACAAUCGAUUAUACAAAAUCAAUAAUCGAUUACCUGGCGGUAUUUAAAAACUUUACGACAUCGGUCAGCUUCACAAUCGAUUGUACAAAGUUAACAAUCGAUUAUUUAUUAGUUUUUGA
rnacentral:lncRNA from 1 species